CCUACGGGUGGCUGCAGUGAGGAAUAUUGGUCAAUGGACGAGAGUCUGAACCAGCCAAGUAGCGUGAAGGAUGACUGCCUUAUGGGUUGUAAACUUCUUUUAUAUGGGAAUAAAACGUUCCACGUGUGGGAUUUUGUAUGUACCAUAUGAAUAAGGAUCGGCUAACUCCGUGCCAGCAGCCGCGGUAAUACGGAGGAUCCGAGCGUUAUCCGGAUUUAUUGGGUUUAAAGGGAGCGUAGGUGGAUUGUUAAGUCAGUUGUGAAAGUUUGCGGCUCAACCGUAAAAUUGCAGUUGAAACUGGCAGUCUUGAGUACAGUAGAGGUGGGCGGAAUUCGUGGUGUAGCGGUGAAAUGCUUAGAUAUCACGAAGAACUCCGAUUGCGAAGGCAGUUCACUGGACUGCAACUGACACUGAGGCUCGAAAGUGUGGGUAUCAAACAGGAUUAGAUACCCUUGUAGUC
rnacentral:rRNA from 1 species